rnacentral:rRNA from 3 species
GGACUACAGGGGUAUCUAAUCCCGUUCGCUCCCCUGGCUUUCGCGCCUCAGCGUCAGAAGAGGUCCAGUACGUCGCUUUCGCCACCGGCGUUCCUUCCGAUAUCAACGCAUUUCACCGCUCCACCGGAAGUUCCACAUACCCCUACCUCCCUCGAGACUGCCAGUAUCCAAGGCACUUUUCCGGUUAAGCCGAAAGAUUUCACCCCGGACUUGGCAACCCGCCUACGCGCCCUUUAAGCCCAGUGAUUCCGAACAACGUUCGCACGGUUCGUCUUACCGCGGCGGCUGGCAC